GUUCUUAUCGUUCUUCAUUGCAUAUUGCGAUCUUAUGAAAAGUUGAUCAUUUAGUUUUUAUUUCUUAGUGAUUGAUCUCUUCGAGAACACAUCAACAAUCACUUGUCAAGUAACCAAAGGGCUCUUCAUUGUCCCUCAUUUCCCAAGGUUUUUAUUGUUUAGUGAUUAAUGUCAUAGAGAACAUAUGAGCAAUCACUUGUCAUG
rnacentral:misc_RNA from 1 species